ACAUCGUUAGUUUAAUGGUAGAACUCCAGCUUCCCAUACGUAAUGUGUGGCCUCAGCAGGACAAUUGCUGGUAGCAAGGGUUCGAUUCCCUUACGAUGUA
rfam:Cryptococcus amylolentus CBS 6039 supercont1.9, whole genome shotgun sequence.